rnacentral:sRNA from 1 species
GCUUUCUGUAGGUAGUUCGAAGGCUUUUGAGAAGAGGGACACUAUCACUAUGCUCAGUUCUGAUUUUUGCAGUUUUGGAAAAUAUGCCCCAUGGAGCACAUUCUGGUUCGUCUGGAAACUGAUUCUCGACCUGUGUCUCGGCGCCUGGUGAGCCUCAUCUUUAAUUCUUUCCUGCCUGUGAAUCAGCCGGAGGAGGUCUGGUGCGAGCGCUGUGUCACCCUGGUGCAGAUGAACCACGCUGCUGCCAGGAGGUUCUAUCAGUACGCCCACGAACACACCGCCUGCACCAACAUAGCAAAGCUGAUUCACGUUAUUCGUCAUUGCUUAAAUGCCUGUAUCCAGAGGGCAGUGAGAGAGCCUCCAGAGGAUGAGGAGGAAGAGGACGGAAGGGAGAAGGAGAAUGUGACUGAUGAUCGCUGCAAGAUCCCUUUAUUCAUGCUAAUGUCCUUUAUGCCGGCCUCUGCUGUCCCUCCAUUCAGCUGUGGUGUGAUUUCCACGCUGAGAAGCCGGGAGGAGGGCGCUGUGGACAAGAGCUACUGCACUUUGUUGGAUUGCCUCUGCUCCUGGGGGCAGGUGGGGCACA